GAUGAAGAACGUAGCAAAAUGCGAUAAGUAAUGUGAAUUGCAGAAUUCAGUGAAUCAUCGAAUCUUUGAACGCACAUUGCGCCCGCUGGUAUUCCGGCGGGCAUGCCUGUUCGAGCGUCAUUUCAACCCUCAAGCCCCCGGGUUUGGUGUUGGGGAUCGGCUCUGCCCUUCUGGGCGGUGCCGCCCCCGAAAUACAUUGGCGGUCUCGCUGCAGCCUCCAUUGCGUAGUAGCUAACACCUCGCAACUGGAACGCGGCGCGGCCAUGCCGUAAAACCCCAACUUCUGAAUGUUGACCUCGGAUCAGGUAGGAAUACCCGCUGAACUUAAGCAUAUCAAUUAAGCGGAGGA
rnacentral:misc_RNA from 1 species